rnacentral:rRNA from 1 species
ACGAACGCUGGCGGCGUGCCUAAUACAUGCAAGUAGAACGCUGAAGAGAGGAGCUUGCUCUUCUUGGAUGAGUUGCGAACGGGUGAGUAACGCGUAGGUAACCUGCCUUGUAGCGGGGGAUAACUAUUGGAAACGAUAGCUAAUACCGCAUAACAAUAGAUGACACAUGUCAUUUAUUUGAAAGGGGCAAUUGCUCCACUACAAGAUGGACCUGCGUUGUAUUAGCUAGUAGGUGAGGUAAUGGCUCACCUAGGCGACGAUACAUAGCCGACCUGAGAGGGUGAUCGGCCACACUGGGACUGAGACACGGCCCAGACUCCUACGGGAGGCAGCAGUAGGGAAUCUUCGGCAAUGGGGGCAACCCUGACCGAGCAACGCCGCGUGAGUGAAGAAGGUUUUCGGAUCGUAAAGCUCUGUUGUAAGUCAAGAACGGGUGUGAGAGUGGAAAGUUCACACUGUGACGGUAGCUUACCAGAAAGGGACGGCUAACUACGU